GACGAACGCUGGCGGCGUGCUUAACACAUGCAAGUCACGGGGGCCCGCAAGGGUAACCGGCGAACGGGUGCGUAACACGUGAGCAAUCUGCCGUCCACUGGGGGAUAGCCGGCCCAACGGCCGGGUAAUACCGCAUACGCUUGCCGGGUGGCAUCACUUGGCAAGGAAACCUCCGGGGGUGGACGAGGAGCUCGCGGCCUAUCAGCUAGUUGGUGGGGUCACGGCCCACCAAGGCGAUGACGGGUAGCUGGUCUGAGAGGAUGGCCAGCCACAUUGGGACUGAGAUACGGCCCAGACUCCUACGGGAGGCAGCAGUGGGGAAUAAUGCGCAAUGGCCGCAAGGCUGACGCAGCGACGCCGCGUGGGGGAUGAAGCAUUUCGGUGUGUAAACCCCUGUUGCCCGGGACGAACCUCCCCUUUCGAGGGGACUGACGGUACCGGGUGAGGAAGCACCGGCUAACUCUGUG
rnacentral:rRNA from 1 species